rnacentral:rRNA from 1 species
CCCUUAGAUGUCCGGGGCCGCACGCGCGCUACACUGAAGGAAUCAGCGUGGCUUUCUCCCUGACCCGAAAGGGUUGGGAAACCCGUUGAAUCUCCUUCGUGAUAGGGAUUGGGGCUUGAAAUUGUUCCCCAUGAACGAGGAAUUCCCAGUAAGCGCGAGUCAUAAGCUCGCGUUGAUUACGUCCCUGCCCUUUGUACACACCGCCCGUCGCUACUACCGAUUGAACGGUUUAGUGAGGGCCUCGGAUUGGUCUCGGCCCGCUCUUUACCGGGCGGCGCCGUUGGUCGAGAAGAUGCUCGAACUUGAUCGUUUAGAGGAAGUAAAAGUCGUAACA